AUGUUAAGUCCAGUCAUGUCUGACUCUGGGGGUUGGUGCUCAUCUCCAUUUCUAAGCCGAAGAGCCAGCAUUGUCUGUAGACACCUCCAAGGUCAUGUGGCCGGCAUGACUGCAUGGAGCGCCCUUACCUUCCCGCUGGAGCGGUACCUAUUGAUCUACUCACAUUUGCAUGUUUUCGAACUGCUAGGUUGGCAGAAGCUGGAGCAACAGCGGGCUUUAAAGCAUAGGUUCUUUUUAUUGCAAUUUCAGUGUGAGAGGAUAUAUCAGAACUUACAGAACAACAUUUAGACAUACAGGCAUAGAGAUUCUAUGCAACUACAAUGGAUUCCACAACCUACUGUGUUUCCCCGGCAACAUAAUAAAACAAAAGUCAUUCAAAUUGGAAGGCUGAACAUAAAAAACACCAUUCAGGACAGACGUUGGGUCAGAGAAUGAGGAAAGAAAACACACAUACGGAGAACACACAAUCCCACCUACAACUACAGGCAGAGUUAUCUAACUCAGAAAUCUAAAUAUUCAUCCAGGUUGGACAAAUAUGUCAGGACAUAGCCGUUUUCAUUGCGUUUAUUACUUUUACCACUUUUAUUUACAAGGUCCAAACAACUUAUUUGCUUGUCUAAAUAUCGUGUAUUUUCUAGCAUUUCUGCAACUUUUUUCUGCUUACCUUAAAAUACUACUUUUUCCUGCUCUACUACAUUUGGGUACAUUUUGAAUUCCAAAUCCGUUCAUUCUUUCUCUGUGCAGUGAAAUGCUCUGUGGAUAUUCGCUUUUCAUGCUCCAUUCACAACAUUGCUUUCAUAUUCCAUUUGAGAAACAGAAGCAGUGAAGUACCUGGGAGUCUUUCUAUGAUGCAGGAAGAGUUGGUAAGUGCUUCUGCCUUAAGUUGGUUCCAUUACAAGAUAUGGAUAAUUGCCAGAAACAGAUAGAUUAAACGAUUUAGCCUGUUUUUUUUAAAUCAUGUUACAGCAUUAGCACUAGCUCUAUAUGGAGCCCCCGGUGGCACUAUGGGUUAAACCCAUUGUGCCUGCAGAACUGCGGACUUGGGUUGCUGACCUGAAGGUUGCCAAUUCAAAUCCAACCCGAGGAGA
rnacentral:lncRNA from 1 species